CUGGCUUUGGCUUUUUGCCUUAUUACUUUGAGAAAAUUAGAGUGUUUCAAGCAGACUUUUGUCUUGAAUACUGUAGCAUGGAAUAAUAGAGUAGGACUUUGGUUCUAUUUUGUUGGUUUGGGAACCUUGGUAAUGGUUAAUAGGAACGGUUGGGGGCAUA
rnacentral:rRNA from 1 species